rnacentral:snRNA from 1 species
AUACUUACCUGGCAGGGGAGAUACCCUGAUUACGAAGGUAGUUUUUCCCAGGGCGAGGCUUAUCCAUUGCACUCUGGAUGUGCUGACUCCUGUGAUUUCCCCAAAUAUGGGAAACUCGACUGCAUAAUUUGUGGUAGUAGGGGACUGCAUUCGCGCUCUCCCCUG